UGAGAAAGAGGAUGUGUAACAUUUUUUCCUCACUCGUGCGGACAACAAUUUCGUAAUGUAUUCCUUUCCUAAGGCUUAGCCAGUCCUAAGGCCUGCCAUCUGGCAACACUGAUAAGUUAAUGUGCUUAUAUCGGCACUUUGUGUCUGACUUCUGAGGUUGACUGAACUAGUGUAGAGACUAGAGGCUGCAGUAGACUAUUCUCAGGGAACAUGGGAAAUCUUUCGAGUAGCGACAACGACGGGAUUUCAACGGGAUUUCAAGGCCUUUCCUUUAUGGCACGGGCAUGCAGGGCUUCAUUCAAGGGGAAGGAUCACCAGAGGAAGAGGCAUAUACGAAGGCGGCACCAGCCGAAGACAGCUCAAGUGAGCACUGCAUCAAAGUCGACCCAAACCGCGGAGCUUGCAUCAAAGUCGACCCAAACCACGGACAGCUCCAGCGAUGAAGUGUCACCGAGGCUCGAGCGAUCGCCACCAAGUGGCCCAGCAUAGACAAGAAGUCCGUCGCUUUUCCUCGUACGGAAUAAGAAGAAUGACCAGGGCACGGUGCUGCAAAUCCACUCAUUUGGAUUUCGGUUUUUCCGUUUGGGCUUUUUACGUUUUCUCUUUCUUUUCUUCUCAUUUUCAACUUCUCGGUAUCGUUGUUUUUGAUUUGUAUCGUUAAGAUUGUUAAUGUGUCGACAAGCGGAAAGAUGUUAUAUUUGUUCUGUCUUCAUUUUGUUAUACCUAGACACUGCGCUUUUUUAGCACUUCUUGGUGACUACAUCGGGUCGGUACAUAAGGAACAAAUGGGUCUGGUUUUUUUUUUUUUGGAGUUCCAUCGCGUUUUGUGUUUCGAAUUCUCUCGACACUUAGUACUGUUGCUUGCUUUGGAUAAGCUGCGAUAUGCAGCUAAUCCAAAGCUGCGAGGCUUGAAUAUUUGAAAAAAAUGCCUUCAAAUCCGGUUUAUAUUGUCAUUUUACUAAAUUAUCUUUAAAACUUUCUCAAUAUAAUGGUUUCAAUGGUUUCAAUGUCAAUAUAAGGGUUUCAAAAACUUUUUCAAUAUAAUGGUUUUCAAUGGUUCUUAUAAUGAUUAAUUAGACACAUUAUUCCAGAUUUUGGCUUACGUAAAGUAAAAAUAUUCUGACGUGAA